AAAUAUUACCUGGAAAUCACAAAUUUAUUUUAAUAACAAAGAAAUAAUGAAUUCCAUCUCUUCUCUUUGCUGUCUUCUUUCUCUCCGCUUCUGCUAUCCGAGUGAAUUAUGCAGAAGUAGAGACGUGCAGCGAUUGCCACAAUUGUUAGUAUAUAUAAUUUUCUUUAUUAUCUUUUUUACAUUUUCUACAUCAUAUAACUAAUUGCGUUCUAGAAAAUUUUAAUUUUAUUUUAUAUACAAUUUUAUAAAUUGAAUAUGACUAAUAAACAGCAAUAUCAAAUAUUUAAAUUUUUAUUUUAAAGAUUAUAAUGAAAGGAACUGCUACAUUAUUAUUAUUUCAAGUUUGCAUGUCUGCCCGUUAUUAAUUUAAGUUUUCAAGUAAAUAUUUACUUAAAUUAAGAGAAAUGCUAGGAAUACUUUUUGUUUUUUUAACACUCUUUUGGAUAAUUACUUUUCUAUUUAUUUUUUUAUCCAAUUUUCUCGGCCUAAUAAUUUAUUUAAUAAAUUAAAUUAAUUGUAUAGUUUCAAUAAAUUUAUUUUCUAAUAAAAGAGUGAAUCCCGUUUUAUGCACAUAAUAUAUUAUAAUUUAGAAUUUACUUUUUCAUUUUAAUUUUGAGAUUAUUUUAUUAAGUGGAAGAAAAUACAUCUUUUAAUGAUUUUACUUUUUUAUAACUAUUUGUAUAAAAUUAAAAAUUUAUAUAAAAACUUUAAAAAUAAAAUAAAUUUUAAAUUUAUUUUAUUUUUUUACUAAAAAAUACAAUACUAGUUUAAUUUGUAAAUUAUUAAGUUAACAAAAAUGAAUUAAUAGAAUAAACGAGAGUAUAGCUUUUAAAAAAUUAAAUAUUAUUGCAAGUAGCUAAAAUUACAUGCUUAUGAUUAUCAGAUGUAAAAACAGUUGAAGCAAUAGAAAAAAUAAUUAAUAUGAAAAGAAAUUGAACAGUGAUUGUGCAGAAGAAAUAAAGCUAACUGGCCGAUUGGGCACGCUGCUGCGGGAUCGCUCAAGAAGCUGCCCUUCUGCAAAAUCAACGCAUCUCUCAAUAUUGACUAGGCUCAAUUAUUUUUUAGUAAUUUUAAUUUUUCUUAUGUUUUCAUAUUCUUUUUUUUUUGGAUACUCAAAUGUUUUAUAUUUCAGUAUAAUAUUUAUAUAAUAUUUAAUUUUUCAGUCGACAAAGAAAAAAAUCUUACUUAAAUUAAAAUGUAUAUCUAUCACUAAUUUAAGUCUAAAAGUGCUUAAAUUUUCUAUUUCAAUUUAACUGCAUCAUAUAAUUAAUUAUUUUUUUCAUUUUUAAUUUAAUUUGAAAAAAAGAAAAAGAGUUUAAAAUUUUGACUUAAUUAGAGUAUUUUGCUCGAGACGGUGUUAUAUUAAAUAUUUUUAUAAAUUCAAACGUGACUUAAUAGCUAGUAGAACCAUCAAGNNNNNNNNNNNNNNNNNNNNNNNNNNNNNNNNNNNAAUUAACUAAAACAUGCCUUGUAUCAUCGGAAAGCAAUAUAAAAAAAUGAUUAUCAUAAAAAGAAAGAAAAAAAAUAAAAAAUGAAGGGUGAUUGUGCUGUAGAUUAUUGCCAAUUUGGUUGUUGCGAAUGGCACGCUGCUGCGGGGUCGCUGAAGAAGAUGCCCUCUUUCAAUAUGGUUAAUGUUCUGAUCAUAUCUCAAUUUUGAUUCUUUUAGCUCUUAGUUACAUGUUUUUCUAAUUUCUUUUAGGCAUUUAGAAAUUUUAGAUUUUAAAAUAAUACUCCAUUUAACAUACAAUUUUUCCCUUUUAUCGUUUCUUUCUCCUCCUAUUUAAAUUUUCAUACUUUAUAAAAUAGAAUAUAUUAUGUGUUUUUUUUUUUGCUGUUUUUAUUUUAGAAUUAAUACGAUUUAGUCAUAUAUCUGUCUGUUGUACUUAUUAUUUUAAUUAUAAAUAAUAAUGUAAAAUGAAUUUAUAGAUAAAAUUUAUCAAUGCUUUUUAAUUAUUAAUUAAUAUUUUAAAUUUUAUUAAUGUAAUAAAUAUAAACUAUUAUUUUAAAAUAUUCAAUUUUAAAAAAUUAAGAAAGACAUCUAAAAUAUUGUUAGUUUAAUAUUAUAAAUUAAUAUUAAAUAUUAAAAUUUUAUUAAAUUAUAUAAUAUUAAUUUAAUUUUAUAAUUAAAAUAAUAAUAAUGACAGUGCAAUUCACGUAUAAGCAAUUAGUUUUAACUAAAUUGACAUAAUUUCUUUAAACAAUACCUGAGAGUUAAUACUUAAAAAGUGAUGAGUAUAUAUAGAACAGGCUACACUGGAUAGAUAGAACCUAACUGAGUCCAAAAUCUGAGCACGAUCAGCAUUAUAUGUGUAAACUAAAAAUUAAUUUCUUUUGAAUUUAAAUAAAAAUAUUCUACCAAGAUAUAUAGAUGUCCUAAAUACAUAUUGUCUCGACAAUAACAUGGAGUACUCUUCAUUCCAUAUUUAUUCAAAUUUCUUAAUAUUUUAUUUUAAAUUAAAAAAGUAUUUAGUAAAUUUAAUUAUAAAAAAUAGUUAAAUAUGAGCAAAUUAUACUUUCAUUGAUAUUUUUUAAAAUUUAUUACAUUUUUAUAUAUAAAUUUAUAGAAUUUUGGAAAACUAAUAGUUAAUAAUGUUAAUACAAGAAUAAAAUAAAAAAAUUAAUAUUAUAUUGAAUAUGUAAAAAUAAUAAAUAAUUAAAAAAUUUAUUUAAAAAUAUCAAUUAGCAUAAAAUGUUAGAAGUAAUACUUUAUAGGAAUUUUAGAAUUUGAAUCAAUCACGAGAUCAUUAUUAAUGGUUAACCAAUUAUUAAAAAUUAAUAAAUUUUAUUCAAUAAAUUAUUACACCAUCUUUAGAUUUGUUUUGAAUGAAAUUUCGAAGGACUCAUAAAAAAAUCUGUACGUAUUUCAUGUUCGGUGAUCAUUGUCAUGUUCCUAGGCAAGUCAUUAUGAAGUAUUGCAAUGAUAUUAUGGAUGCUCAAGAAUAUGAGAAAUGUUUAACUAGCAACAUAAGUAAUAUUAAUAAGAUAUAUAGAUGGAUUCCAUCAGAUAAGAACGAGAUUAAACUUAAUACAGAUGGGGCUUGUGUGGAUAAGGGGAGAAGGGUAGUUGCAGCUGUGUGCUCCGCGAUUGUAGAAAGAGCUGGUUGAUGGAUUUUAAAAACUACAUUGGUAGUUGUUGCCCUCCGAGCUAUGGGAGCUAUGUUGGGUCUUAAUAUGACGUAGUGUUAUGGUUAUAACAAAGUUGUUCUGGAGUUGAAUUUCUCAUUGGCUGUAGAUUAUAUUUACAGUAGAAGGAAAGUUCAUAUUUUACAGAAAAUAUAUUCAUCAAAUACAUAUUUUACUUGCAAGAGACUAGAUGCUCUGUUGUUUGCAUAUCGGUCAAAAGGACAAUGACCGUGCUCAUGUCAUGGCUAGAGUUGCAUUAGAUGGUGAUCGAGAUUUUAUUGUCUCUUUCUAUCCUCCA
rnacentral:lncRNA from 1 species